CUGGGGGAGCUCCGGCCGCGUUCCUGACCUGCGAGCUGACCGGCUGGGACCAUGGGGUGCUGCCCAGGGGACUGCUUCAACUGCUGCACCCAAGAACAAGAAUGCUGUGAGGAGUGCUGCUGCCAGCCCUCCUGCUGCGGCUGCUGCGGCUGCUGUGGCUCCUGCUGUGGCUGCGGAGGCUCUGGCUGCGGAGGCUGUGGCUGCGGAGGCUGUGGCUGUGGGAGUAGCUGCUGUGGAUCUAGCUGCGGAGGCUGCGGGGGUUGUGGAGGCUGCGGGGGCUGCGGCUCCAGCUGCUGUGGCUCCAGCUGC
rnacentral:lncRNA from 1 species